rnacentral:rRNA from 1 species
GAUCACGGCUCAGGAUGAACGCUAGCUACAGGCUUAACACAUGCAAGUCGAGGGGCAGCAUGGUCUUAGCUUGCUAAGACUGAUGGCGACCGGCGCACGGGUGAGUAACACGUAUCCAACCUGCCGUCUACUCUUGGACAGCCUUCUGAAAGGAAGAUUAAUACAAGAUGGCAUCAUGAGUCCGCAUGUUCACAUGAUUAAAGGUAUUCCGGUAGACGAUGGGGA